CCGGAAAUGCAGGACCCAGUGUGGAUGGGUAGGUAUAUACGCUUAAAUAUCCCGCUUUAUAUGUAGUGAUAUCCUCCUCGAAGGAAGGAAUUAAUACUUCUUUGUUCCCCCACUUGUAGUCCUCCUUUACUUGCGAGAUCUCAUCUUUAGUUAUCAAGAAAAAAUAUCAAGACAUGGGCUCCCAACGGCCAGGUGUCGACACAGGUUUCUC
rnacentral:lncRNA from 1 species